rnacentral:rRNA from 1 species
CUUUCCCUCUUUCUUCAUGCUUUACACAUGCAAGUCGAACGGCAGCACGGGGGCAACCCUGGUGGCGAGUGGCGAACGGGUGAGUAAUACAUCGGAACGUGCCCGGUCGUGGGGGAUAACGUAGCGAAAGUUACGCUAAUACCGCAUACGAUCUGAGGAUGAAAGCGGGGGACCUUCGGGCCUCGCGCGAUCGGAGCGUCCGAUGUCAGAUUAGGUAGUUGGUGGGGUAAAGGCCUACCAAGCCGACGAUCUGUAGCUGGUCUGAGAGGACGACCAGCCACACUGGGACUGAGACACGGCCCAGACUCCUACGGGAGGCAGCAGUGGGGAAUUUUGGACAAUGGGCGCAAGCCUGAUCCAGCCAUGCCGCGUGCAGGACGAAGGCCUUCGGGUUGUAAACUGCUUUUGUAUGGAACGAAAAGGCUCUGGCUAAUACCUGGGGCUCAUGACGGUACCGUAAGAAUAAGCACCGGCUAACUACGUG